UACGUAGGGGUGCGAGCGUUUGUCCGGAAUUAUUGGGCGUAAAGAGCUCGUAGGCGGUCUGUCGCGUCUGCUGUGAAAACCCGAGGCUCAACCUCGGGCCUGCAGUGGGUACGGGCAGACUAGAGUGCGGUAGGGGAGAAUGGAAUUCCUGGUGUAGCGGUGGAAUGCGCAGAUAUCAGGAGGAACACCGAUGGCGAAGGCAGUUCUCUGGGCCGUAACUGACGCUGAGGAGCGAAAGCGUGGGGAGCGAACAGG
rnacentral:rRNA from 1 species